CCUACGGGAGGUAGCAGUGAGGAAUAUUGGUCAAUGGACGAGAGUCUGAACCAGCCAAGUAGCGUGAAGGAUGACUGCCCUAUGGGUUGUAAACUUCUUUUAUAUGGGAAUAAAAUGUUCCACGUGUGGGAUUUUGUAUGUACCAUAUGAAUAAGGAUCGGCUAACUCCGUGCCAGCAGCCGCGGUAAUACGGAGGAUCCGAGCGUUAUCCGGAUUUAUUGGGUUUAAAGGGAGCGUAGGUGGAUUGUUAAGGCAGUUGUGAAAGUUUGCGGCUCAACCGUAAAAUUGCAGUUGAAACUGGCAGUCUUGAGUACAGUAGAGGUGGGCGGAAUUCGUGGUGUAGCGGUGAAAUGCUUAGAUAUCAUGAAGAACUCCGAUUGCGAAGGCAGUUCACUGGACUGCAACUGACACUGAGGCUCGAAAGUGUGGGUAUCAAACAGGAUUAGAUACCCCAGUAGUC
rnacentral:rRNA from 1 species